rnacentral:rRNA from 1 species
GUGGUGUGGUCGGUUCCCUUUUUCUAUGAGGGUGUGUUCUGUUCGCAGCUAACGGGGGGUAGGCACCGACGCGCAGGCGGCCACCGGCCCCCAAGAUUAGGCUCGCUAAGGGUUAGGGUUGGCGGCGACCUUCUGGGGCGUCGAGGUGCUGUCGCGCCCGUCUCCGUCUGUACCGCGGGCACGAUGGACGUGGCCGCCGCCGCCGCCGCCGCCGAGGAGGAGGGAAGACGGCACAGAGAGAGGGCCGGGCGUCGCGAAAGGGGAGGAGGAAGGGGCAGUCUUCGGAACCGUCCAAACGUCGGUCCUCGUCGCCGCCGCCGCCGGCAGGGCUCGGGUUUCGUCCACUACUUCUCUCGUUCCGGCAGGAGCUGCGGAAGAAGGAGCCCUUCCGGAACCGCCUCCGAGACUGCCUCUCCCGGCUCAGCCACCACCCGCUCCACAAGUCGCAGCAGCCCGUCACCGUCCGCCUCGUCGUCUUCGUCCAGGUCCUUAAAGUCCUCCUCCAUCAAGUCUCUCGGGUUUUCCGAUUCCUUUCUCGACGACUCCUCCAGCAACUACUAUUCCCUGGUUUCUGAGAUUUCCCUAGAAGUUGUUGGUAACACUGCGGACGUGGAUGUGGGGGAGGAAGAGGAUGAUAAGGGUGUGUCCGUCUUAUCAAUAUUCGCUGCUACUUCUCAAUCACGACGUACAUCUGAGUGAAAACACGAGGUUCUUUCAAUGCUUUAAGAGGAAACUCUAUAAAUAACUAGUUCAACAGGAAAGAAACUAUCACUUAUAGGUCUUACAGUUGAUCUUUUUAGAUACGGACAAUACCGCGACGAUCUUCCUCCCGCGCUCUCCCGGCCGGCCCCCGGAAAAACGGGUGCCGGCCCGUUCUCCCUUCCCUAAAGGAAGAAUUAAGAACGAACUAAUCUAACUAUGUAAAGGAGAGAAAUAUAUCUUUCCAAAUGAACUGAGGGUUCGUUCCGAAUGAACUGAGGAUUCUUUCGCUGGGAAUAGAGAUUAAUUGGGAUUCUGAUUGCCCGAUAUGGCGGUCGGGUCCGGUAAUCCGGGUAAUGCAUGAGAUUGUGAUGUGGGGUGGACCUGUACGUCGAACAGGAGUUCGACGUCGGAUUGGUUGAAUAUUGGUACUGAACUCCAUUGUGUUUGGAUUGUGGAUUUUUGUUCGGAAAAUGUAGAGCCGAACAAAAUAAUGAGAGUUGGACUUUACCUGACCCUACUAAAUAAAACCUGGAGAAUUGUUUUUCACCUAUGGUAGGCGUGCAGCCUGCACGUGCACAUGUCGGUGGACCUAGGGUACCUGUGGUAUACCUGUUUUCCUCACGUACACAUACCCGUGGACCUUCACCAACGUUCUCGCUGGUUGUCUCCGCGGGAGCGCCGCCUUACGUCACCACGAUGCGCCACGCGAGAACAGCCACUGUGGUACGGAAGAGGGGCGGCCUGCCGACAACCAGCCGUGGCGUGUAUCUUCUCACCUCCCAACAGCUACCUGUUACCGCUCCUACCCACGCGGCGGGGUUGGCGGCUGCAGCGUCUGAAACUCCCGCAACAGGUACCCCUUUUGUCGUACGGGUUCUAGGGGCUGCGUCACCUGCUCUAGCUCCAGGAAACGCGUCGCUUCGCGUUGACCCUCCUCGCCGUCGACGUCUGGUGCGUUGAGGGCGUGUACGGCUACGCGAUCCUCCGGCGCACGUUGUCGGACGUCGGAGUGGCAGCGGCUGUGCACCGCUCAUCACUAGGUUAGACCUUCGCCACUGCCGCUGCCGCCUUCGAACUAGACGACCUACCCCUGCGGGACCCCUUCGCCACUACCGCUGCCGCCCUUGAACUAGACCACCUAGCCCUGAGGGCAGCCGCGCCAGCUACGCCCCGGCCUCGACUGGCCACUACCGACGACGUCAACGUCGCCGACGACGCCGCCUCGCGGCCCGCGCCGCCUCCAGCGGUCCUCGCCACCGACGGUGACGUCGGUCCCGCCCCGCCACCUACCGUCGACGACGUCGCCGGGCUACUCGCGCCGCCUCCGGUGGACCACGCCGCCGACGGUGCCGUCGGUCCUGCCCUGCCACCACCGCCACCUACCGUCAACGUCGCCGACGACAUCGUCGGGCUGCUCGCGCCGCCUCCGGCGGACCACGCCGCCGACGGUGCUGUCGGUCCUGCCCCGCUACCUACCGUCGACGUCGCCGACGACGUCGUCGGGCCGCUCGCGCCGCCCCCGGCGAACCACGCCGCCGACGGUGCCGUCGGUGCCGCCGCGCCACCGCCACUACCCGCCGUGUCGGCCCACGCCGGGUAUCCUGGGUCGGUUCUUGUCCACCUAGAGGACCUGGCGGACACAAUCCAGGGCGUCGCGGGGCCUGUGGAGGCCCCACUCCUGCUGCCCCCGCCCGCGCUGCCUCCUAGGGCCGCGCCCGUCCUCGCCCCGCUGCCAGCACUGGCCGUCGCUUUCUCUGCCCAACCCGCCGCCACUUCUGUACUAGCUUGGCUUCGAUCGACUAUGGUUUAACAAUACCGCGACGAUCUUCCUCCCGCGCUCUCCCGGCCGGCCCCCGGAAAAACGGGUGCCGGCCCGUUCUCCCUUCCCUAAAGGAAGAAUUAAGAACGAACUAAUCUAACUAUGUAAAGGAGAGAAAUAUAUCUUUCCAAAUGAACUGAGGGUUCGUUCCGAAUGAACUGAGGAUUCUUUCGCUGGGAAUAGAGAUUAAUUGGGAUUCUGAUUGCCCGAUAUGGCGGUCGGGUCCGGUAAUCCGGGUAAUGCAUGAGAUUGUUACGGUGUUUAAGUGUCUACUUACCUUAUUUUUAGACCUUAUUUUUAGACAAUCAAGUGAUGUCUAAGACUUUUAUUAUUAACAUAACGGACAUACUGCAGUAAGAUAUAUUAUUAUACAAGAGUCCUUUGUCGAAGUUUCUUGGAAAUGUUGGUCUUUGUUACCAACAGAAUUAAAUGUAAAAAAAGAAAGAGCUCUUUUGAUUUGUUUCCUGUACACUUUCCCACUAAACUAGUAGUUUAUUGACAUCGUCAUCUUGGGGUUUGAACCUGAGGAUAAUUGAAAAUGACCACUGGAAACGUAGACUAAGAACCACAGAAAUAAGACAGUUUAUCUGACGAUAAGUCAAGGGUCUCUUUAAUACACACGUGACACCGAUUGACUUAUAAGAGAAACUCUCUUCACGAUCGACUUAAUACAUACGUUGUGUAAAUGUUGUACGUGAAAGGCACUAAAGUUCUUAAAAACAACACAGUGUCACGAAAUCAGGUAAUACUUAGCAACUUAUGGAUCUUACGUCCAGAAGUUCCCUUCUCGUCUUCUUGACGUCUGAUUGUGUCUAAUACAAACCUGUAAGAACGGAUAUUUUACGUGAUACAAGGGUGACUACCUGACUACUAUAAGUCUUGAACGGUUUUAGAACACUUCUAUCUGCUGUCCAUUAAUUUCACAAGAAUAAUAAAAAUAAGGCAUGAUAGUAAUUUAACAUUGAUUAAAACAAUAUGUAACGUAUUGACGACUUGACGCCUACUCUUACUACAAAGUUGAAGAUCAAACGAAACAACUAAGAAAAAUCUACGAAUACACUACUUAAGAACCUCAAUCUCGUAUCAAUAUAUCGCUACAAUCCUUAAACGUUUCAUUAAAACGUAUACUUAAAAGAGACCUGAUCUUAUGUGGUAACCAGCACGUCAAGUCAGUGUACUCAUCGUCUUAUAAAUUUGACCAAUUUAUGGAGACUAAUACUUUACUACGUCAAAUCCCACAAAAUCGCUUUGAGACAAUUUAUGAGAUAGACUAACCCGUUUACGGCGCGGUACGUACCAAGUAAGUGUUUGUAUUUAUAAAGAUGUAAGCAUGCUAUUGCUGGACUUGCAACCGGUAAAUAAGUGUGUGUAUUUCUACAGAACGUUGAGUACUGGAACGUAUCAUAAGUCCGUGCCCCUUUGUUCCAUGCUGAAAUGUAUUAAAAGGAUCGUGUAUACCUAUGAUGUCUGUAUUUUUUUUAUAAGGUGGGUAACUCAACAGUCUGCGGUAUACUGUUG